ACGGAGGAAGAGAAUAAGAAUCCGGCGUGGGAGGAUGAGGAGGAAAAGGAUCAGGCGAGAAAGGAGGUGGUUACAGGUCUGAACUUUGAUCCUCUUUCCCACCUAUACUUAGCAUGAUUUAUUUUCAGUAUUCUCUGUAGUUUAUAAGCAGCAAAUGCCACCAGGGAAUGCUCCAUGUUGUAAGAAAUUUGUGAACUCUGAACCUAGUCAAGUGCUUCUACUACAAGGUACUAUAUAGGUACCUGAUAUUUGGAAACUGUCAAAUGCCUUUACCUGCUCACACAAUAUCCCUGAAACAGCAACUGUUCCACUGGUUUUCUGAAACAGCAACUGUUACAGUGAAGAAAAACCCAUGACUGGUUUGUCACAGCCAAAGGUGGGUGCAGGAGAUGAUGAUGAUGCGCUGCUAAUAUUGGACUUGCCAGUGGUAAGCUCAUUUUCAUAAUCAAGAAACAUGCUUGUGGCCUUAACAAGUAACACUACCUGACAUUUUCUUACUUUUAUGCACAUGGACAGUAUGUAUAAUGACACCUGAAGCAUUUUGGUACUGCAUGUCAGUAUGUAUAAUGAUUUAUUUUUAGUAUUAUCUUUUCAGUUAAGAGUCAUUUUUGUGGCAGCCCAGAGAUAGGAACACUGUGUCUAGUCAAGACCUACUUAGCAACAAAUUAAGAGUAAGUGGCAUCUCGAGAAAAUUGAAGUUAAUUGAUACUAAAGUCCCCAUGCUACCUGCUUGUUUUAGUGAAAGGACCAAACCAAAUAUCCUUCAUUUUUAGUACCAGUACAUGCCCCUCUUAAUUUUUAUAUAACCAAUAAUCUGAAUUGGUGAAGAUUAUUAGUAUUAAUCUGUACAAUAGCUUAUUUUCAUCAGUGCUAGCUAGCUGCAUGUCCCAGUUCAGUACACGUGCAUGUCCGCAUGUUUGCUAGCUGCAUGUAUGUUAUUUGAACAAAUGAUCGGCAUGAAAAAGCUUGAUACUAUAAGCUACAAAGUAAAUUCCUGAAACUUUGUUCUAAUAUUCAGGACAGGUCUUCAGAGCAGCAGCCAUUGACUUGGAAAAGUUCGGGACUAAAAUUUGAUGUUCAGGAGAAUCAAAUUCAUCGUAAAUAAGGGGCUGCCAUUGACUUGUCGUUCGUCGCAAAGUUCAGGAGAAUCUGAAUGUAUGUUCAGAACUAUGAAAUCUGGUGUUCAAGCAGAUGUUCAGGAUGUGAAAUCUGAAACCUGAAUCCGAUGUUCAUGCUAAGCACUGAUGUAUGCUCACUGAGAUUAUGUUAGUUUUAAAACUGCUCGUUGCUCCGUUUGAUAAACUGAAUCUAACAUUGUAUCAAAUGGACCGAAGAUUUGCUCGUUGCGCAUUUGAAAAACUGAAUCUAACAUUCUAUCAAAUGGACUGAAGAUUUGCUCGUUGCCGCAUUUGAAAAACUGAAUCUAACAUUAUAUCAAAUGGACCGAAGAUUUGCUCGUUACUGCAUUUGAAAAACUGAAUCUAACAUUGUAUCAAAUGGACCGAAGAUUUGCUCGUUGCUGCAUUUGAAAAACUGAAUCUAACAUUGUAUCAAAUGGACCGAAGAUUUGCUCGAUGCUGCAAAUCUGAAUGUAGUUUGAACAUUGUUCAGGAUUG
rnacentral:lncRNA from 1 species